UCGUCUUCUCGUUUUUCUUUCUCUCCAUCUUCUUCCUCUUCCUCUUCCUCUUCCUCACAAAAGAAAUCAAAUGAUCCUUGGAGCGGACCAGGAAGGUCCCUCUCUUGAGAAAAGAGAGGAGAAUUGAAAAAAAAGAGAACUGGUUUUGUCAAGAAAGAUAUUUUUCCUUGGAAGAAUAAAAUAAAAGGAAAACCAAA
rnacentral:ribozyme from 13 species